CAGUCACCUGCUGGCACCACGCAGCCAGGAGACUAAAGUUCAUUUCAAAGAAUAAACUGUACCAGAUCCAAGGAAGCCUGUGAAGACUACGUUUCCAGGACUGGAAAAGCUAUGACAGACAUCAACCAGAUGAUCAUCAAUUUGGCUGUCUUUGGCAGGACGCAGAGUGGAAAAAGUUCGGCUGGGAAUAUCCUUUUGGGAAGUGAUGACUUCUACAGCAGUCUCUCUCCAGGUUCUGUAACCACGGAGUGCAGCCUGGGCCGCAGUUGUCACCUCCACAGCUUCAUGCGUCGAGGGGGACAAGAAAUAACCCUACAGAUACAGGUGUUGGACACUCCAGGGUAUCCACACAGCAAGCUGAGCAUGAAACAUGUAAAACAGGAAGUCAAGAAGGCCCUGGCACAUCACUUUGGGCAAGAGGGUCUCCAUCUUGCUCUGCUGGUCCAGAGAGCUGAUGUGCCUUUCUUUGGACAGGAAGCAUCAAACCCAGUCCAGUUGAUCCAGGUAAUACAAAGAUGUAAUCAUACUGGCACCAUUUUUCCUACUUGGGAGCAUUCUCUGCAGAGGCAAGGCCCAGGAACAAACUGGCUCAAAAGGAACUUCUGGGAGAUUCUUGGAAGAAUUACACUGCUGUUCUUUUUAGCCAUGCAGAAAAAAUAGAAGAGGCGGGGAUCAGUGAAGACGAGUAUUUGCGUGAGGCUCCCGAUGCGCUGCUGAAUCUGCUAAGCUCUGUUCAGCAGAGGUUUUCCUUCCAAAUACUUUUGGAGUUAACUCCUAUGAAUCAUGCUUGCCAAGACUUACUCAGAAGAAAAUCCACAACCCUACAGUACAAGAAACAAGUGUGAGCAAGCUGUUCCACCCCGUUCCAAAUGACAUGGUACCUGAUAAUGCAGCUCUACAUGAGUUUUCCAUCUCACUGUUGAAAAACUUAAGGUUACCACCUAAGUAUCAGCUAUGAUUGGGCACACCCCAAAGGGGCUAUUCCUAUUUAAAAGUCAUCUCUCCAUCCAUCCAUCCAUCCAUUCAUCCAUCCAUCCAUCCAUCCAUCCAUGCAUCCAUCCAUCCAUCCAUCUUAAAUCUAGUGACUAUGUCAUUUUGGGUCAUAACCCACUCUCUUGCUUUUCAAAAGAAAUUGGAAAAAAAUAUUCCAAAAGAAACUAGUAAACAUUUUUAGUUUGAUCAAACUAGGGAGAGAUGUCCUACAUAAAUCAUUAAUAGAUAAACGCCCUACAGAUUUGCCUAUAGGCAAUAAGAUGGACACAUUUUCUUGAGGUUCCCUUUCCCUAGAGCCUGUGAAAAAUUGACAUACAAAUGAACAGGCCAAUUGACCAUUUGUCAGCUUGACACACCAAUAUAUUACCAUUAAACUAUAA